GUGAUCUUCAAGUUGCAGCAAGAAUCAGUGCCAUGGACAGUGGAGAAAUCUGUCAACCAGGGACUUCCUGAUUGCUACAGAAAGAAUGAGCUUCUAGGAGCUAAUCAGAAACUUCAAGAAAUAAUCUUCAGGCAACCUAGUGAAAUGCCAUUUGGGAGGAAGUGUGCUUCUAAUGUCCCUAAGAACAACGUCCAGAGUGGGGAAAGCCCCACUCAGCAGGAGAAGAUGCACAUUUGUCAGCAGUCUUUUGAACACAAUGGGAAAGAAAAAAACUUUCAGCGCAAAGAAGAAAUUCCUUAUGUGUGACAAAGUUUAUACCAAAGACCCAUGUAAUAAGCAACCUGUCAAUGUGGGAGAAACAAUUCAGGUUGAAAAGAAAAUGUUCCUCAACAACCUUUAUUUUGGGAAACAUCAGCAAACACAACCAGGAGAGAAAACUCAAUGAACAUUUUAAGAGUGAGAAAUCUCUUAUGAAUAAAACAGAUGUCAAAGUAAAUCAGAUAAGCCAAACAGCAAAGAGUUACUAUUUAUGUGGCUGUUGUACAAAAUCUUUUAGCUGUACAUCUUGCAUUUCCAACAAACAGAGAAUGGACACAGGAGAAAAUUUCUAUAUGAGCAA